rnacentral:rRNA from 1 species
GGUUAAGCGACUAAGCGUACACGGUGGAUGCCCUGGCAGUCAGAGGCGAUGAAGGACGUGCUAAUCUGCGAUAAGCGUCGGUAAGGUGAUAUGAACCGUUAUAACCGGCGAUUUCCGAAUGGGGAAACCCAGUGUGUUUCGACACACUAUCAUUAACUGAAUCCAUAGGUUAAUGAGGCGAACCGGGGGAACUGAAACAUCUAAGUACCCCGAGGAAAAGAAAUCAACCGAGAUUCCCCCAGUAGCGGCGAGCGAACGGGGAGGAGCCCAGAGCCUGAAUCAGUGUGUGUGUUAGUGGAAGCGUCUGGAAAGGCGCGCGAUACAGGGUGACAGCCCCGUACACAAAAAUGCACAUGCUGUGAGCUCGAUGAGUAGGGCGGGACACGUGGUAUCCUGUCUGAAUAUGGGGGGACCAUCCUCCAAGGCUAAAUACUCCUGACUGACCGAUAGUGAACCAGUACCGUGAGGGAAAGGCGAAAAGAACCCCGGCGAGGGGAGUGAAAAAGAACCUGAAACCGUGUACGUACAAGCAGUGGGAGCCUCUUUUAUGGGGUGACUGCGUACCUUUUGUAUAAUGGGUCAGCGACUUAUAUUCUGUAGCAAGGUUAACCGAAUAGGGGAGCCGAAGGGAAACCGAGUCUUAACUGGGCGUUAAGUUGCAGGGUAUAGACCCGAAACCCGGUGAUCUAGCCAUGGGCAGGUUGAAGGUUGGGUAACACUAACUGGAGGACCGAACCGACUAAUGUUGAAAAAUUAGCGGAUGACUUGUGGCUGGGGGUGAAAGGCCAAUCAAACCGGGAGAUAGCUGGUUCUCCCCGAAAGCUAUUUAGGUAGCGCCUCGUGAAUUCAUCUCCGGGGGUAGAGCACUGUUUCGGCAAGGGGGUCAUCCCGACUUACCAACCCGAUGCAAACUGCGAAUACCGGAGAAUGUUAUCACGGGAGACACACGGCGGGUGCUAACGUCCGUCGUGAAGAGGGAAACAACCCAGACCGCCAGCUAAGGUCCCAAAGUCAUGGUUAAGUGGGAAACGAUGUGGGAAGGCCCAGACAGCCAGGAUGUUGGCUUAGAAGCAGCCAUCAUUUAAAGAAAGCGUAAUAGCUCACUGGUCGAGUCGGCCUGCGCGGAAGAUGUAACGGGGCUAAACCAUGCACCGAAGCUGCGGCAGCGACGCUUAUGCGUUGUUGGGUAGGGGAGCGUUCUGUAAGCCUGUGAAGGUGUGCUGUGAGGCAUGCUGGAGGUAUCAGAAGUGCGAAUGCUGACAUAAGUAACGAUAAAGCGGGUGAAAAGCCCGCUCGCCGGAAGACCAAGGGUUCCUGUCCAACGUUAAUCGGGGCAGGGUGAGUCGACCCCUAAGGCGAGGCCGAAAGGCGUAGUCGAUGGGAAACAGGUUAAUAUUCCUGUACUUGGUGUUACUGCGAAGGGGGGACGGAGAAGGCUAUGUUGGCCGGGCGACGGUUGUCCCGGUUUAAGCGUGUAGGCUGGUUUUCCAGGCAAAUCCGGAAAAUCAAGGCUGAGGCGUGAUGACGAGGCACUACGGUGCUGAAGCAACAAAUGCCCUGCUUCCAGGAAAAGCCUCUAAGCAUCAGGUAACAUCAAAUCGUACCCCAAACCGACACAGGUGGUCAGGUAGAGAAUACCAAGGCGCUUGAGAGAACUCGGGUGAAGGAACUAGGCAAAAUGGUGCCGUAACUUCGGGAGAAGGCACGCUGAUAUGUAGGUGAAGUCCCUCGCGGAUGGAGCUGAAAUCAGUCGAAGAUACCAGCUGGCUGCAACUGUUUAUUAAAAACACAGCACUGUGCAAACACGAAAGUGGACGUAUACGGUGUGACGCCUGCCCGGUGCCGGAAGGUUAAUUGAUGGGGUCAGCGCAAGCGAAGCUCUUGAUCGAAGCCCCGGUAAACGGCGGCCGUAACUAUAACGGUCCUAAGGUAGCGAAAUUCCUUGUCGGGUAAGUUCCGACCUGCACGAAUGGCGUAAUGAUGGCCAGGCUGUCUCCACCCGAGACUCAGUGAAAUUGAACUCGCUGUGAAGAUGCAGUGUACCCGCGGCAAGACGGAAAGACCCCGUGAACCUUUACUAUAGCUUGACACUGAACAUUGAGCCUUGAUGUGUAGGAUAGGUGGGAGGCUUAGAAGUGUGGACGCCAGUCUGCAUGGAGCCGACCUUGAAAUACCACCCUUUAAUGUUUGAUGUUCUAACGUUGACCCGUGAUCCGGGUUGCGGACAGUGUCUGGUGGGUAGUUUGACUGGGGCGGUCUCCUCCUAAAGAGUAACGGAGGAGCACGAAGGUUGGCUAAUCCUGGUCGGACAUCAGGAGGUUAGUGCAAUGGCAUAAGCCAGCUUGACUGCGAGCGUGACGGCGCGAGCAGGUGCGAAAGCAGGUCAUAGUGAUCCGGUGGUUCUGAAUGGAAGGGCCAUCGCUCAACGGAUAAAAGGUACUCCGGGGAUAACAGGCUGAUACCGCCCAAGAGUUCAUAUCGACGGCGGUGUUUGGCACCUCGAUGUCGGCUCAUCACAUCCUGGGGCUGAAGUAGGUCCCAAGGGUAUGGCUGUUCGCCAUUUAAAGUGGUACGCGAGCUGGGUUUAGAACGUCGUGAGACAGUUCGGUCCCUAUCUGCCGUGGGCGCUGGAGAACUGAGGGGGGCUGCUCCUAGUACGAGAGGACCGGAGUGGACGCAUCACUGGUGUUCGGGUUGUCAUGCCAAUGGCACUGCCCGGUAGCUAAAUGCGGAAGAGAUAAGUGCUGAAAGCAUCUAAGCACGAAACUUGCCCCGAGAUGAGUUCUCCCUGACCCUUUAAGGGUCCUGAAGGAACGUUGAAGACGACGACGUUGAUAGGCCGGGUGUGUAAGCGCAGCGAUGCGUUGAGCUAACCGGUACUAAUGAACCGUGAGGCUUAACCUU